GGUGUGGGUGUUGACUGAUGUUUCGACAUCCUUACAGGUAGUCAUCUUCACAUCAACACCAAAAUCAACACCAACCGUCCUUAUCAGUGCUGCUCUAACGUGGACGAUCCAUAUCAACAAAUAUCUUACAAUGCUCAUUUUCGUUUUGUUAGUUUGUCGUGCCUGGAGUCUUGAGUAUUUUGGCGGGAGUUAAGAAAAAUAGCCUUGUGAUGGCGUUUGCCCUUUUCUUCAACAUCAUCGCCGUUAUUGUUUCCAGUGUAGCAAGUGUUAUUCUGAUAAUAAUAGUAGUCCUUAUGAACGAAGUGAGGUCAUCCGGACAUUAUAGUUGCAGCGACCAGGGUGAUCAGUGUUAUUGUACAUCAACAUCUAUCUACUCUGAUUAUAAUUCAGUAAGAUGAUCCUGUCGUGGUCAUGACCACUGGUGUACCCGUUCAUAACGCAGGCGCCGUAGUCGUGACGUCCAACCAAUCUUCAAUCCAACAAGGUUAUGCCCAUGGCAAUGUCGCGCAGCCAAUGCCGUCCCAGGCCCCAGUGUAUGGUUAUGGCGAUCAAACUCCUCCAUUCUAUACUACGUAUGAGAACAAGGUGCUCUUGGCGAAUUAAGAAAUUCAUUCAGUUAAUCAGUACUUUGCUACUCCUUUUCAUGCUUGAUGUUUACGUUUAAUUAGUGAUUAAUAAUCAUUUUGAAGUUCAAAAUAGUCAAUUUACCCCAGAUGGCUAUGUCUGAACUAUUUGUUAGUUAAAAUAGUCUACUACAAGAGAGCUGACAGGUGAUUUGUGAAUAGUCUAUCAAUUUAACUACAAAACACGUCGUUCAAACUUAAAUACGUUUACGUAAAAUACGUAGAAAUAGUGUCAUAAUGUAGCACGAAAAAGCUUGUUUUAAUUUCGCAAUAACACUUCUUGUAAGUUCUCUUUGAACUGGAAUAACUUGCUCUUUCUGUUUGUUUUUCUUUUCUUAUUUUACUUUCCGGAGUGUAGGAAGCUGUUUUCAAGGAAGUUGGAAAGUAUCACUUACAAUCACUGAUAUGAAUAUUUCACUGGAUAACGCAUCAUGUAUAAAAUAUACUAAGAUAAUUGAAGUAUACUUUUGUAUUA